rnacentral:tRNA from 1 species
GCACUAGUAGCUCAGCGCCAGAGCGCCGGUCUUGUAAGCCGGAUGUCGGAGGUUAAAAUCCCCCCUUUUGCU